AUGAGCACACACUUCCCUGUGGUCUCCUGCCAGUGGGAUGUCAACAGCUGUCUGUACUGUCAUACUGUUCCAGGGUCUUGUCUCCAGAGUUUAAGAAGAAAAGCAACUCGGAAGUCAAGAAGAUCUACCGUCCGUCCUAUCGACAAAGUCAGAAAAAUCCGUGUCUUGCCAAAGAACAGGAUGCACCCUGUGAAGGAGUCGACGAAGCUGCCCCCGAUGACCUGGUGGAAGAACACACCAAACACAGGGCAGAGGAGAAGGCCACACCGCUUGCCAAGGUUUCCCACAGUCGGCAGGAGCCCUGUGCAGACAGAAUGCGGUCCUACAGGGACUCUCUCUCUCUGGUUGCAGACGGACUCGAGAUCCAGCGAAAACUGUACGUAUCCUGGAAUCCCUCGGUUGUUGAGGGAAACCAAAGGGAGGAGAGAGUGGGACCUUCCUGCCUGCUCUCCCCUGGUGAUUCAACCUGAUUCCAGCUUCCUGGUGGAUAAGAGGAUCUCGGGUGUGGUGAAAGAAACAGAUGGGCUAGUGCAUAGCCAUGGGCAUCUAAGGCAGGCCCUGGAAGGAGCUGGGUCAUUUAGAGAUGGUGUGGGUUUGUGCGCAUCAGUGUUGUGA
rnacentral:lncRNA from 1 species